UAAAGUGCUUAUAGUGCAGGU
rnacentral:ncRNA from 5 species